CCUACGGGAGGCAGCAGUGGGGAAUAUUGCACAAUGGGGGAAACCCUGAUGCAGCGACGCCGCGUGAGUGAAGAAGUAAUUCGUUAUGUAAAACUCUAUCAGCAGGGAAGAAAAUGACGGUACCUGAGUAAGAAGCCCCGGCUAACUACGUGCCAGCAGCCGCGGUCAUACGUAGGGGGCAAGCGUUAUGCGGAUUUACUGGGUGUAAAGGGAGCGUAGACGGCAGUGCAAGUCUGGAGUGAAAGGCGGGGGCUCAACCCCCGGACUGCUCUGGAAACUGGACGGCUGGAGUGCAGGAGAGGUAAGUGGAAUUCCAAGUGUAGCGGUGAAAUGCGUAGAUAUUAGGAGGAACACCAGUGGCGAAGGCGGCUUACUGGACUGUAACUGACGUUGAGGCUCGAAAGCGUGGGGAGCAAACAGGAUUAGAUACCCUGGUAGUC
rnacentral:rRNA from 1 species